UUUGCAUUAGCUCAGUUGGUUAGAGCACUACACUGUUAAUGUAGCUUUUAUUGAAAGAGUUGAGUCUCUCUUUAAAA
rnacentral:tRNA from 1 species